rnacentral:rRNA from 1 species
GUGCCAGCCGCCGCGGUAAUACGUAGGUGGCAAGCGUUAUCCGGAAUUAUUGGGCGUAAAGCGCGCGUAGGCGGUUUUUUAAGUCUGAUGUGAAAGCCCACGGCUCAACCGUGGAGGGUCAUUGGAAACUGGAAAACUUGAGUGCAGAAGAGGAAAGUGGAAUUCCAUGUGUAGCGGUGAAAUGCGCAGAGAUAUGGAGGAACACCAGUGGCGAAGGCGACUUUCUGGUCUGUAACUGACGCUGAUGUGCGA